CAUCUCCUUUGUGCAGGCUUCUUGAGAAAGAUACAUCUUUCAAGUUUGAUGAUGCUUGUCUGAAAGCAUUUGAUGAGCUGAAACGAAGAUUAGUUACUGCACCGAUUAUCAUUUCUCCAGAUUGGAAACUUCCAUUUGAAUUGAUGUGUGAUGCAAGUGAUAUAGCCAUUGGAGCUGUUUUGGGGCAGCGGAAAGAGAAAAUAUUUUGUUCCAUUCACUAUGCGAGAAUUUGAUUUGGAGAUUCGAGAUCGAAAGGGAACAGAGAAUCAGGUUGCAGAUCAUUUAUCCAGGCUG